GGAGAGAUGGCUCAGUGGUAAGAGCACUGACUGCUCUUCCAGAGGUCCUGAGUUCAAAUCCCAGCAACCUCA
rnacentral:tRNA from 1 species